rnacentral:lncRNA from 1 species
GCUGAUCUCCUCCAGUGCGUGUGCCCAGCCACCUGGUUGUCAUGGAGGAGGUCUUAGCUGAAGAGCUUGAGGAGGAGGAGCAGCUGGUAAGAUGGCACCAGAAGAAGAAGAAGGAGCUGCAAGCCAAAAUUCAAGGAAUAAAGAACGCUGUUCCCAAAAAUGACAAAAAGAGGAGGAAACAACUCAAGGAAGAUGUUGCUAAGUUGGAGAGAGAAAUGGAGCAAAAACACAGGGAGGAACUGGAGCAAUUGAAGCUGACUUUCAAGGAUAGUAAAGCAGAUUCUGUUGUUGUUAACAUUUCAAACUUGGUACUUGAGAAUCACCUCAGAUUUCUUUUUUUUUAUGAGAUAUGUCCUAAUUUUAUUUUUUAAUUAGGUAUUUAUUUCAUUUACAUUUCCACUGCUAUCCCAAAAGUCCCCCACCCGCUCCCCCACCCACCCACUCCCACUUCUUGGCCCUGGCGUUCACCUGUACUGAGGCAAAUAAAGUCUGCACGACCAAUGGGCCUCUCUUUCCACUGAUGGCCACCUAGGCCAUCUUCUGAUACAUAUGCAGCUAGAGACACGAGAUCCGGAGGGUACUGGUUAGUUCACAUUUUUUUUCCACCUAUAGGGUUGCAGAUCUCUUUAGCUCCUUGGAUACUUUCUCUAGCUCCUCCAUUGGGGGCCCUGUGAUCCAUCCAAUAGCUGACUGUGAGCAUUCACUUCUGUGUUUGCUAGGCCCCAGCCUAGUCUCACAAGAGACAGCUAUAUCUGGGUCCUUUCAGCAAAAUCUUGCUAGUGUAUGCAAUGGUGUCAGCGUUUGGAGGCUGAUUAUGGGAUGGAUCCCCGGAUAUGACAGUCUCUAGAUGGUCCAUCCUUUCGUCUCAGCUCCAAACUGUGUCUCUGUAACUCCUUCCAUGGGUGUUUUGUUCCCAAUUCUAAGAAGGGGCAAAGUGUUCACACUUUGGUCUUCGUUCUUUUUGAGUUUCAUGAGUUUCACAAAUUGUAUCUUAUAUCUUGGGUAUUCUAAGUUUCUGGGCUAAUAUCCACUUAUCAGUGAGUACAUAUCAUUUGAGUGCUUGAGGAUCAGCUGAGAGAACAAGACAGUGCUCUGACUGUGGCUGCCCUAAGGAGGCAGGCUGCUGAGUACAUGCAAAGCCAUUCAGACGACUUCAUGCCAUUUCUAACAAACCUCAGCACAGGAGAUAUGUACACACCAGAAGAGUUUGGGAAGUAUUGUGACGAUAUUGUAAACACAGUGGCAUGGGGCGGUCAGCUUGAGCUAAGAGCUCCAUCUCACAUCUUACAAACACCAACAGAGAUACUACAGGCAGAUGUUCCUCCUACUAUAGUUGGUGAAGAGUACCCUAGGAAUCCAUUAGUACUAGUAUACAUGAGGCAUGCGUAUAGCUUAGGAGAACAUUAUAAUUCUGUUACACAGUUGGUGAACUCAGCUACUGAAAAUUGCAACUAGUUUACAAAAUGUUACACUGUAUUAUAGCGUGUGCCAAUCUACCAAGUGCUAGAUUGUUGUAAAUGCUACUGAAAAACACAGCUACCUUAGAUGAGUUUUAUGAAUAAGCUUACUAAAAGCUUUUAAGAAAUAUGUUGGAUUAACUUUAACCAGUGCUCUCUUAAUGGCAGUUUUAGAACUUAAAGUCUAUUGUGGAGAACGUCAUCAUAGGCCAAGAUGUUACUCUUCGUGCUCAUUAAUUUUAGUUGUCCUGCACAUUCUGGUUUGGAAUAAAUUUGUUUUAAAUCCCCCCCCAGCUUUAUGUUCCAAAAAUAAAGAUUUCAAUUUAAUUUUUCUUAAAAGUGAGAAACAUAUUGUGUGACAGCAGGUUUAUCAACGCUUGUAAAGUGCUCAUGAUCCCAGUGACUUUGGUAUGACUAGGGUCAGGGGUG